CCCCAAAACCCCCCUGUGAACAUACCAAUUGUUGCCUCGGCGGAUCAGCCCGCUCCCGGUAAAACGGGACGGCCCGCCAGAGGACCCCUAAACUCUGUUUCUAUAUGUAACUUCUGAGUAAAACCAUAAAUAAAUCAAAACUUUCAACAACGGAUCUCUUGGUUCUGGCAUCGAUGAAGAACGCAGCAAAAUGCGAUAAGUAAUGUGAAUUGCAGAAUUCAGUGAAUCAUCGAAUCUUUGAACGCACAUUGCGCCCGCCAGUAUUCUGGCGGGCAUGCCUGUUCGAGCGUCAUUUCAACCCUCAAGCCCCCGGGUUUGGUGUUGGGGAUCGGCGAGCCCUUGCGGCAAGCCGGCCCCGAAAUCUAGUGGCGGUCUCGCUGCAGCUUCCAUUGCGUAGUAGUAAAACCCUCGCAACUGGUACGCGGCGCGGCCAAGCCGUUAAACCCCCAACUUCUGAAUGUUGACCUCGGAUCAGGUAGGAAUACCCGCUGAACUUAAGCAUAUCAUAGGCCGGGAAGGA
rnacentral:rRNA from 1 species